GAAUCACUUGAACCCAGGAGGUGGAGGCUGCAGUGAGCCAAGAUCGUGCCACUGCACUCCAGCCUGGGCGACAAGAGCAAAACU
ensembl:miRNA